CCCUCCUACAGAGGCAUGUCUGUGGUUCCCUGUCUUUGGACUUGUACGAAUUGGAGGCAAAGAAAUGUGGACUUGGAGAGAAGUCCAGGGCCAACUUGCUCCUUGCAGGCUCAUGAUCAACCAUCCCACACAG